rnacentral:piRNA from 2 species
UACAGAGUGAGUUCCAGGACAGCUAGGGC